UCACUACACCUGUUAUCAACACCAAGUUCCUCCCUGCAGCUGGGAGGAAUAAAAUGGAUGGCAGCAGACUUUAGAGCUGGCUGCCCUGGCAGAGGAAUGGUGGGUCUGAGGCAGAGAGGACCUAAAGUGUGGACCCCACAACCUUGAGGUGGGAGAGGAGAAGUUGCUACAGGAAGCACGAGAGAAGCUUGCAGUGGCAGAAACUGUCCUAACCGUGGAGCCACAGGAAGUGACCCUCCACCCCACAGGCAUUCAUUCUAUCUACAAGCAUCACUAAUUGCAGGACAUAAUAUUCAAGAUAAGGGGCCAACAAUGACUCCUCUGAUGUACAGUGAAAGAAGAAUCAAAAGGAGAUGAACUAUGUGAAGAAAAGUUGAAGUAAAACAAAAUGAACUAUCUUUAAUAAUUAGUGAUAACACCGGUAGUUUAAAGAAAAUAAAUGUUUUUGCUUCAUAUAAUAGGGAGUCUUAAACCAUGUAGUUGUUUAAGAUUCAUUUGUUAGAACCUACCUUUCCAGCCUGAUUGUAAAAUAUCAGUUAAAUCUGUAUCUUCCAAUAUAGAUCCUGAAAUGCAA